rnacentral:misc_RNA from 1 species
CUCAAAUUCUCUCCUAUUGCUAGAUCGUUAAUGGUGCCUCUUCUCAUUCUCAAAUCCCAUGGACUUAGAACCAAAUUCUUAGCUUCAACAAUCACUUCCUUUGUCAGCUUCAACAACCCAUUCUCUUCUAGAUCGCCACGUUUCUACCACCACAACGCCGAUGAUUACGGUAACUAUAACCUCACUUCACCAUCACCUUCAUCGCCACCGCAAUCUUUUGUCAGAUCAAUUUGUUCAAUGGUCUGUGAAUCCUAUUAUCAACAAGCCUCAUAUUUUAGAACAUCACCUUCGAAGCUCAAUCUCCAAAUCAAUCCCGAUUCUUUGACCCAUGAACAGGUCAUUACCGUCGUUGCUUCACUUGCAGAGGAAGCGGGUUCAAUAGUGGCAUUGAGUUUCUUCAAUUGGGCAAUUGGGUUUGCCAAGUUUAGGCAUUUUAUGAGGUUAUAUAUCGUUUGUGCUUCUUCUUUUAUUGGCAAUGGCAAUUUGGAUAGAGCCCGUGAAGUGAUGCAAAAUAUGGUCAGGAGCUUUGCUGAGAUUGGGAG